rnacentral:rRNA from 1 species
UUAAGCAUAUCAAUAAGCGGAGGAAAAGAAACUAACAAGGAUUCCCUCAGUAACUGCGAGUGAAGAGGGAAAAGCUCAAAUUUGAAAUCUGGCAGCUGUUUCAGGUUGUCCGAGUUGUAAUCUAGAGAAGUGUUACCUGUGUUGGACCRUGUAAAAGUCUUCUGGAAUGGAGCAUCAUAGAGGGUGAGAAUCCCGUCUUUGACAUGGACUACCAGCAUGCCAAGGUGYACUCUCAAAGAGUCGAGUUGUUUGGGAAUGCAGCUCAAAAUGGGUGGUAAAUGCCAUCUAAAGCUAAAUAUUGGCGAGAGACCGAUAGCGAACAAGUACCGUGAGGGAAAGAUGAAAAGAACUUUGGAAAGAGAGUUAAACAGUACGUGAAAUUGCUGAAAGGGAAACGCUUGAAGUCAGUCGCAUUGGCUAGAAAUCAGGCUUGCUUUUGCAAGGUGCACUUUCUGGUUGAUGGGUCAGCAUCAAUUUUGAUCGUUGGAUAAAGUCAUUGGGAAUGUGGCAUCUUUGGAUGUGUUAUAGCCCGGUGUUGAAUACAGCGGUUGGGAUUGAGGAACUCAGCAUGCCUUUAGGGGCCAGGUUUCGACCAUGUUCAUGCUUAGGAUGCUGGCAUAAUGGCUUUAAUCGACCCGUCUUGAAACACGGACCAAGGAGUCUAACAUGCCUGCGAGUG